UCUGGACUGACACUGACACUGAGGUGCGAAAGCGUGGGUAGCAAACAGGAUUAGAUACCCUGGUAGUCCACGCCGUAAACGAUGUCAACUAGCCGUUGGGUCCCUUGAGGACUUAGUGGCGCAGCUAACGCAAUAAGUUGACCGCCUGGGGAGUACGGCCGCAAGGUUAAAACUCAAAUGAAUUGACGGGGGCCCGCACAAGCGGUGGAGCAUGUGGUUUAAUUCGAUGCAACGCGAAGAACCUUACCUACCCUUGACAUCCAGAGGACUUUCCAGAGAUGGAUUGGUGCCUUCGGGAACUCUGAGACAGGUGCUGCAUGGCUGUCGUCAGCUCGUGUUGUGAAAUGUUGGGUUAAGUCCCGUAACGAGCGCAACCCCUAUCCUUAUUUGCCAGCGAGUAAUGUCGGGAACUCUAAGGAGACUGCCGGUGACAAACCGGAGGAAGGUGGGGACGACGUCAAGUCAUCAUGGCCCUUACGGGUAGGGCUACACACGUGCUACAAUGGCAAGUACAAAGGGUUGCAAUACGGCGACGUGGAGCCAAUCCCAUAAAGCUUGCCUCAGUCCGGAUUGGAGUCUGCAACUCGACUCCA
rnacentral:rRNA from 1 species